UGGGGAAUAUUGCACAAUGGGCGCAAGCCUGAUGCAGCGACGCCGCGUGAGGGAUGGAGGCCUUCGGGUUGUAAACCUCUUUCGCCAGUGAAGCAGGCCAUCUUCUUUGUGGGGUGGUUGACGGUAGCUGGAUAAGAAGCGCCGGCUAACUACGUGCCAGCAGCCGCGGUAAUACGUAGGGCGCGAGCGUUGUCCGGAAUUAUUGGGCGUAAAGAGCUCGUAGGCGGCUGGUCGCGUCUGUCGUGAAAUCCCCUGGCUUAACUGGGGGCUUGCGGUGGGUACGGGACGGCUUGAGUGCGGUAGGGGAGACUGGAAUUCCUGGUGUAGCGGUGGAAUGCGCAGAUAUCAGGAGGAACACCGGUGGCGAAGGCGGGUCUCUGGGCCGUUACUGACGCUGAGGAGCGAAAGCGUGGGGAGCGAACAGG
rnacentral:rRNA from 1 species